ACUUGAUCCGCUGCGGGCAAAGUCUGAGAAGAAUGGCGGCUCUCCGCAUGUUGACCGUGGCCCUUUUACUGCUCGGCGCCGUCGGCCCGUGUCCUGUCCGGGCGCAGGUGACGCCGGACGAAAACGACCCAAGUCCGCCUCCGCCCCCGCCUCCGGAUACGACCACUCUUUCGCCAAAUCAAUCUCCUCACGAUGGAGUGAUAUGUCUGGGCGUCGGCGACUCUUUCGUUUUCAAGCUUGACCCGGGUGUCGAUUUUCUUUUGCGUUUUUCGGACCCUAAUUUUGUGGUCGUGGGUAUUGAUGAUAAUACCCCCGGAACUCCAUCCACUCCCCUUACCACUCCCCCAACCACUACCACUACCCUUACCCUUACCACUUCCACUACCGUUGAUACUGAGACUCCAGAUUCAAACCCAAACCCAAACCCAAACCCAAACCCUAAUCCAGGUCCAACACCAGAUGACAGGAAGUGAUGAGCACAACCGUGGCGUGGAUUACGGCUGCUGCCUUAUUGCUUUGUUUCCUUUCAAUUGUUGAAUUGCCAUCAAGACGUAUUUUGUUUUUUAUUUGCUGUUUGUAAUCUCCUCCUGUAAUCAGUUCUUCCUAAAAAUCGCAUACUCCGGUGUGACAUGAAAACCUUUGAUUGGUUUCCGUGCCGUUCGCACGCUGGCUUCUGGUGAACUUUAUGGCUUGAAUAAAACUCAUGAGAGC